CAGCCGCCACGGUAAUACAGAGGGUGCGAGCGUUAAUCGGAUUUACUGGGCGUAAAGCGUGCGUAGGCGGCUUUUUAAGUCGGAUGUGAAAUCCCUGAGCUUAACUUAGGAAUUGCAUUCGAUACUGGGAAGCUAGAGUAUGGGAGAGGAUGGUAGAAUUCCAGGUGUAGCGGUGAAAUGCGUAGAGAUCUGGAGGAAUACCGAUGGCGAAGGCAGCCAUCUGGCCUAAUACUGACGCUGAGGUACGAAAGCAUGGGGAGCAAACAGGAUUAGAGACCCGUGUAGUCCCUGUCUCUUAUAC
rnacentral:rRNA from 1 species